rnacentral:rRNA from 1 species
UGGGGAAUCUUGCGCAAUGGGCGAAAGCCUGACGCAGCCAUGCCGCGUGAAUGAUGAAGGUCUUAGGAUUGUAAAAUUCUUUCACCGGGGACGAUAAUGACGGUACCCGGAGAAGAAGCCCCGGCUAACUUCGUGCCAGCAGCCGCGGUAAUACGAAGGGGGCUAGCGUUGCUCGGAAUUACUGGGGGUAAAGGGCGCGUAGGCGGAUCGUUAAGUCAGAGGUGAAAUCCCAGGGCUCAACCCUGGAACUGCCUUUGAUACUGGCGAUCUUGAGUAUGAGAGAGGUAUGUGGAACUCCGAGUGUAGAGGUGAAAUUCGUAGAUAUUCGGAAGAACACCAGUGGCGAAGGCGACAUACUGGCUCAUUACUGACGCUGAGGCGCGAAAGCGUGGGGAGCAAACAGG